GGGGUCUCUGGCAAGGAAAGAUGGUGACUCACCCAAAAUUAGAUCUUGGCCCCAAGCAAGUACACCAACACCCUUCAGGAUCAUUAGAUAUAUACCCUGUGGUUUAUCAAGUCUUGCCCAGGGGUGGAGUUAAGGCGUACCUACAGAAAUAAUAACUGACCACCUCCUUUGUUCCAGACCACUGUCAAUCCAAAUGGAAACAUUUGACUCUAUCUUCUUUUUUUGUACCUGCCACAGAAAUAAUAAUUGCAUCUACAAAUUUGUUAUUAUUUUCCCAUUCCAUAGACAUGUUGCACGUCCCACCCACGAUCCAAUAGGACGGACAUCACAAUUCCUUUCCCUAGGGUCAAGUUAGGCCACUCAUGUUUGGACUUGGUUAGAA